UGCACCUGAGCACCACUUGAGAGUAAAAGAGAGCUGUGCCUGAAUCCACUGUUGUCACGGAGCUAAAGGCAGUGAAUUCCACAAAAAUGGUCAGGUUUUGGUAAAGAGUUGGAAACAUCUUGCAGCUGAGAUCCAUUCCACGGAGUGAUACCGAUCCAGACGUUCUUCCAGAGAUUCAUAGAUUCCCAGUCCAGGUGGCUGGGUGGCGAACCAACCGUGUUUGUGACUCUAACUUUAGACGGAUUGCCAGGAUCUUCUUCAUCUUUACUGUGUUAGGGCAAACACUAACACAAACUUAAAAGGGCCCCAACGGUGAAAAAUUGUCAAUAAAGGCAAGUGGAACCAAGGACGAACUGAGCUCAAAGAAGCUAAAAAGAAAGGGAUUUUAUUUACGUGCGCACUUUAUUAUUUGAGUUUGUUAUUUUUCAUAACUGUCAUUCUGGUGUGGUAUUCUUUUUAUUGACAUUCAAUUCUCAGGCUCUUAACAAUUUAGCGUCUUCUGAUUCUGGUCCACAUUAAUGAUAACCUCAAAGACUGCUUUAGACUACUACACCUAUGUACAUUAUUACUACCUCGUAAUAAGGGUUACACAUAUCUUUUAAGAACAUUUCCUUUAACAACUUUAACUUAUUAUUGAACAUUUCUAUAACAUCUAUAACCUCAGGAAAAUCUGUUAUCGAGCAGUAAAUGAUAUGGCCAGCACUAUCAGGACUCAUACAUUUACCCACAAAAAAGGCUACAUUAUUUCAUGCCAACUUACUUUAUCAUCAUCUGUGCUCAUGACAAUGCAAAAAGUUAUGAUAAUUCUUUAAGGACGUAUAGGAAGACGUUUAAGGUCUGUCUCUUUAUUAGCCACUGAUUUGACACGCCAGGAGACAUGUAAUAAAACUGACAAAUCACAGUCAUGCACAGUGUAGGAAGGAAAUGUGGGGUACAUUCAGACUGUUGAUGAAAUCAGCAGUGAUGAAACCACUCAUGCUCUCCGCUCUGUAUAUUUUCCAGCUUUUUUGUCCUCUGUCUCAUGGUUAAAGAAUCUGCACUACAAAGUCAUUUCAGACUUUUCACUUCACGCAUUUUAAAGCCUCGGCAAGUACAGUAUGUUGGUGUUCUGUGAUGCUGUGAAUAAUUCCAUGCUGAUCUUUCUGUUCAUUGUUGAACUGUAUUGUUAAUGUACAAGACCUUUUACUCUGCGCCUCUACCCAUUCUGUAGGGUAUUUAUUUAAAUCCGCUUCUGUCAGUAUGACUUUCGCUGUCUUUGUAAGUGCUCUGUACUGUCUGUCUAUAUAUUAACUUUGUCACUGCCGCAAACACCAGUUCCUGUACUGGACUGU